rnacentral:rRNA from 1 species
UACAGAGGUCUCAAGCGUUAGGCGGAAUCACUGGGCUUAAAGCGUGUGUAGGCGGAAUUGUAAGUACCUUGUGAAAUCCCAUGGCUCAACCAUGGAACUGCUCGGUAUACUGCUUUUCUUGAGCCACUUAGGGGCUACCGGAACAAAUGGUGGAGCGGUGAAAUGCGUAGAUAUCAUUUGGAACGCCAAUGGUGAAAACAGGUAGCUGGGAGUGUGCUGACGCUGAGACACGAAAGCCAGGGGAGCGAACGGG